GACGAACGCUGGCGGCGUGCUUAACACAUGCAAGUCGAACGGAAAGGCCCUGCUUUUGUGGGGUGCUCGAGUGGCGAACGGGUGAGUAACACGUGAGUAACCUUCCCUUUACUUUUGGAUAACUUCAGGAAACUGGGGCUAAUACCGGAUAGGAGCUCCUUCUGCAUGGUGGGGGUUUGAAAGUUUCGGCGGUUGGGGAUGGACUCGCGGCUUAUCAGCUUGUUGGUGGGGUAGUGGCUUACCAAGGCUUUGACGGGUAGCCGGCCUGAGAGGGUGACCGGCCACAUUGGGACUGAGAUACGGCCCAGACUCCUACGGGAGGCAGCAGUGGGGAAUAUUGCACAAUGGGCGGAAGCCUGAUGCAGCAACGCCGCGUGCGGGAUGACGGCCUUCGGGUUGUAAACCGCUUUCGCCUGUGACGAAGCGUGAGUGACGGUAAUGGGUAAAGAAGCACCGGCUAACUACGUG
rnacentral:rRNA from 1 species